rnacentral:rRNA from 1 species
UGGGAUUCCUUUAGUAACGGCGAGUGAAACGGGAUCAGCUCAGCGUCAAAGCCGGCCGUCGAGAGAUGGUCGUGCAAUGUGACGUUCGGGAAAGCCAUCAUGUCCGCGUGCACCAUCGGUCCAAGUCUUCUGGAAAGGAGUCCCUCAGAGGGUGAUAGGCCCGUAGGGCCGAUUGGUGUGUUCACGGUCAGGUUUUCCUUCGAGUCGGGUUGCUCGCUAAUGCAGCCCUAAGCAGGUGGUAAGCUCCAUCUAAAGCUAAAUAUGACCACAAGUCCGAUAGUGAACAAGUACAGUGAUGGAAAGUUGAAAAGUACUCUGAAGAGAGAGUCAAACAGCACGUGAAGCUGCCUUCUAUGGGAUUAAGCGCACGUGUGGCACUUGUCGUUGGACAAAUAGGCGCCAGCUGGUGUGUGUGGUUGUCCGCUGUUGUGCUGCAGUCGAUGUAGCACGGCGUGCAGUCAGUGUGUGACACUUGCUGAGUGCUUUCCUUUGUUUGGCUUUGACAGGUCGAAGCUUCGUCACAAUUAUAUCGGUCCUAUUGCCAGGUGUCAUUUGCUGAGCCGGUGGCGGCUGUUGUGCUGUUGUGCUUGCAUAGCAGUGCAGCAGUGUCGCGUCGAACUGGCACUCGUUCGCCGAGUGGCGGCGUCGCUUUUGGUCAGCAAUGCGAGUGCAACUGUGCGAGAGACUGUGUGACGGCUGGCGCAAUGUUGGUNNNNNNNNNNNNNNNNNNNNNNNNNNNNNNNNUCAAACACGGACCAAGGAGUCUAACAUAUCAGCGAGCGAUUGAGAUAUUGACUAAUCUCAAACGCACAAUGAAAGUGAAGUGUCGUCUGACGACAUGAGCGGGGAUUUGUGCUCCAGCGUGUGUGCAACGCACCCGCGGGCCACGCCAUUGGCUAGCUUGUCGGCUUCGCGGUUUGACACUGCCAAGGCGUGGACCCAGAGUUGAUACGUUGGGACCCGAAAGAUGGUGAGCUAUGCCUGGCCAGGAUGAAGUCAGCGGAAACGCUGAUGGAGGUCCGUAGCGAUUCUGACGUGCAAAUCGAUCGUCUGAGCUGGGUAUAGGGGCGAAAGACCAAUCGAACCAUCUAGUAGCUGGUUCCGCCCGAAGUUUCCCUCAGGAUAGCUGGCGCUCGUGUGAUACGGAGUUUCAUCCGGUAAAGCGAAUGACUAGAGGAAAUGGGCUUCUUCCUAGCUCAACCUAUUCUCAAACUUUCAAUGGGUGAGACGUCUCGCUGGCUUCAAUGCAGCGACGACUCUGUGAAUCCCUGAGUGCCUAGUGGGCCACUUUUGGUAAGCAGAACUGGCGAUGCGGGAUGAACCGCAUGUUGACUUAAGGUGCCUAAGCGAACGCUAAUCAGAUACCAUGAAAGGUGUCGAUUGCUCACGACAGCAGGACGGUGGCCAUGGAAGUCGGCAUCCGCUAAGGAGUGUGUA